UGCCUUAGCGGCCGUGAAUCGAACCCGGGGCGCCCGCGUGGCAGGCGAGCAUUCUACCACUGAACCACCGAUGC
rnacentral:tRNA from 1 species